AAAUAAUAAUAUUAAUAUAAUUUAUGAGUGUGAUGAAUUAGAAGAGAAAACAAAGAAACUGAAAGUAGGUUUAAAUAAUAUUGAAGGAACGUUAAAUAUUAAUAAUAUAAGUAACCACACUUUUGAAAAUAACAACAAUAAUAAUAAUUAUAUAGGAGAAAAUAAUCAAACAAAUAAUGAUGGCACUAAACUGGUAAGUAUAAAUGGAGAAACUAAAGACAACCAUAAAAAUGAUGAAAAAAAAAAUAUAACUAACAAUAUAACUAACAAUAUAACUAACAACGUAAUUAAUGAAAUGAACAAUGUAAUUAAUGAAAAUAAGAUUAAACAAAGUAAUGUAUCAGUAAAAGCAGAGUCGAACGAGGAUAAUGUAUCUGAUCAGGUAGGCACAAUGUUAAAGAUGGAUGUAAAAAACGAUACAUAUGAUGACAUAAAAAAAAACAUAAAAGAAGAAUGUUCUGAAGCAGUAGAAGAAAAGAAAGAAGAACAAAAAGAAGAACAAAAAGAAGAAACAAAAAUAGAACAAUAUGAUAAUAUAGAAAAGGACAGUUGUAACAAUAAAAUAGAAACAAUUUCAAACAACGUAAAAAUAAUAGUAACUUGGAAUGUUAAUAGCAUAACUGUAAGAUGUAAAAAUAAACAAAAAUGGAAAGAAUUUUUGAAUUUUUUUUAUAAUUUAGAUGUUGAUGUAUUAUGCAUACAAGAGGUAAGAUUACCAGCUAAAGUUAUUUCUAGUAAUGGGAAAAAUAAAAACAAUGAUACACAUGAUAGAAGUAAAAUAAAAAAUAGUGAUAAAAAAAGUCUAAUUGAUUAUGAAAUAAUGAUUAAUUUGUUAAAAAAUGAUUUUAAAAAUUAUAAUGCUUAUUUUAGUUUAGCUAAUAUAAAAUAUAGUGGUCAACUAGUAUUAGUAAAAAAAGGUAUAAAUGUAAAAUCAGUUAGAUAUAAUUUACAAUUUGAUAUAGAUCCUAACAUACAUAACGAUGAAGGAAGGAUAAUUUUAGUUGAACUGGACAAUUUUUAUAUUUUAUCUACUUAUUCGCCUAACAAUGGUUUUACUACAGAUAGAUUUGAAAGAAGAAGAUUAUUUGAUGAACAGCUAGAAAAUUUUUUUUUUUAUU
rnacentral:lncRNA from 1 species